rnacentral:rRNA from 1 species
AUACGGAGGAUGCGAGCGUUAUCCGGAUUUAUUGGGUUUAAAGGGUGCGUAGGCGGACUGGUAAGUCAGCUGUGAAAGUUUGCGGCUUAACCGUAAAAUUGCAGUUGAUACUGUCAGUCUUGAGUGUGCAUGAGGUGGGCGGAAUUUGUGGUGUAGCGGUGAAAUGCUUAGAUAUCACGAGGAACUCCAAUUGCGAAGGCAGCUCACUGGGGCAUAACUGACGCUGAUGCACGAAGGUGUGGGUAUCAAACAGGAUUAGAUACCCUGGUAGUCCACACAGUAAACUAUGAAUACUCGCUGUUUGCGAUAUACAGUAAGCGGCCAAGCGAAAGCAUUAAGUAUUCCACCUGGGGAGUACGCCGGCAACGGUGAAACUCAAAGGAAUUGACGGGG